UACGAAGGGUGCAAACGUUGCUCGGAAUCAUUGGGCGUAAAGCGCACGUAGGCGGCCUCGCAAGUCGGAUGUGAAAUCCCUCGGCUCAACCGAGGACGUGCACCCGAAACUGCAGGGCUUGAGUACUGAAGAGGAUCGCGGAAUUCCCGGUGUAGAGGUGAAAUUCGUAGAUAUCGGGAGGAACACCAGUGGCGAAGGCGGCGAUCUGGGCAGAUACUGACGCUGAGGUGCGAAAGCGUGGGGAGCAAACAGGAUUAGAAACCCCCGUAGUCC
rnacentral:rRNA from 1 species